rnacentral:rRNA from 1 species
UACGUAGGGGGCAAGCGUUGUCCGGAUUUAUUGGGCGUAAAGAGCGUGUAGGCGGCCAAGCAGGUCCGCUGUGAAAACUCGAGGCUCAACCUCGAGACGUCGGUGGAAACCGUUUGGCUAGAGUCCGGAAGAGGAGAGUGGAAUUCCCGGUGUAGCGGUGAAAUGCGCAGAUAUCGGGAAGAACACCCGUGGCGAAGGCGGCUCUCUGGAACGCAACUGACGCUGAGACGCGAAAGCGUGGGGAGCAAACAGG